UACGUAGGGGGCUAGCGUUGUCCGGAAUUAUUGGGCGUAAAGAGCGUGUAGGCGGUUCGAUAAGUUCGCUGUAAAAGUCAGGGGCUCAACCCUUGAAAGCCGGUGAAAACUAUCGGACUAGAGUGCGGAAGAGGCGAGUGGAAUUCCUGGUGUAGCGGUGAAAUGCGCAGAUAUCAGGAGGAACACCCAUUGCGAAGGCAGCUCGCUGGUACGCAACUGACGCUGAGACGCGAAAGCGUGGGGAGCAAACAGG
rnacentral:rRNA from 1 species